AAUAAGUUCUAAAGAUAAGCGGUACAACAUUGUACCUAUAGUUAACAAUACUAUAUUGUACACUUAAAUGUUUGUUAAGAGGGUAGAUCUCAUGUUAAAUAUUCUUACCGCAAUAAGAUUUAAAAAUAUUUUUAAUGCUUGGGAGGGGAAUUAGCCUCAGUAGCAAGUAUUUUAGCAUUUACUAAGUACCUGUUUUGUUGGAGUAAAAAAGAAAGUAAGGCAGGUCCCCUCCAUCUCCCCCUUCUCCUUGAGAGAGAAAGUUGAGAGGAGUGCACUCUUUAGUUGGUGUGCUAAGUCAAUUCAGUCAUGUCUGACUCUUUGCCACCCCAUGGACUGUAGCCUGCCAGCCUCCUCUGUCCAUAGGAUUUUCCAGGCAAAGAUGCCAGAGUGGGUUGCCAUUUCCUCCUCCAAGGGAUUUUCUUGACACAGGGAUCAAACCCACGUCUCUUAUGUCCCCUGCAUUGGCAGGCAGGUUCUUACCACUAGCACCACCUGAGUUGGUAAUAGAUUUUUUAAAAGUCCUUAGAAAAGGUUAUUAUAGGAUAAAGAAUUUGUUGCAUAGAAAAAGCUUGAGAGAAUGAAGACUGGAAAGUGGUUGCUACAAACCUUUGAGGAUGCAGUAUGGUAGCAGUUACAAACAUGAGUUCUGGUGUGUUUCUUACUGACUCUUAAGUGACCAUGGAUAAUUUACCUAAUCUAAGCCUCGGUUUCCUCAUUUGUAAAUUAGUGAUAUUAAUAAUCCCUGUUCUUCAGGAUAUUGUAAAGAUUAUGAAAUAUUGCAUGUAUGGUGCUUCAUACUGUGCUUAGUAAGUGUUGAGUAAUAAAUAUUAGGUGGGAAAGAUUAGCAAAGUGAUGUGUUUCUGAAUUAGGGUGGUAGUAAUGAGUGACUGUUUCAAAUAAGAACAAGGCUAAAGCUGAUGCGGAGAUUUUUUGUGCCUAAAUGACAGUGGAAAGAGAAAUGCAGGAAAGUCUGGGGAAUCUCUUAAAGAGGACAUGGACUGUGUCAUGCUCACAUUUGUGUCCCUACCAUAGCGCCAUCAAAUUGGAGUAACUCAAUAAAUGAGUUUUUACCAAGUGAACAAAGGAGUUUAGAGUUGAUGUUGUAACAGUCAAGAAGAUAGUGAGAAGUGUUUGGGUAGAAGAAUUUCAGGGAAAAUUGAGGCUUUUAAGAGGCCUAAAUUUGAGAAACAAGCCCAUGAAUUUAGUUUUGAAAGAAAAGUAAAAACCUAGUUUACCCACCUUUUGAAAUUUGUAUCAGCAUCUUUUGAAAGUGGUGAUUUAAAACCAUGAUACGUAACAAUGUAAAGUUAACAAAAGAAAUACUGCCUUUUUAGUUUCAAGAUGUAACAGGAAUAAAUAAACCAAGAUACGAAUUGAUCUAGGGGCAGGCUCUGGGAGUCCCUCAUUUUGCACAGCAGAUAUAUUCCUAAAGUUGUUGAGUCCGUGUCUGUGUGUGUGUGUGUGUGUGUGUGUGUGUGUGUGUGUGGUAUGUGUACAAGUGUAUCUUGAGCAUUAUACUUUAAAUGUUUUUAGUAGUUUGUGAGUUUUAAAUAGUCAGAGGGUUAAUCUUCGUUGUGUAAAUGAGCACAUUUUGAAAAUUGUAAUUUUGUAAAUGAGAUUUUUUUUUAAAAAAAAGCACACUUAUAUUUCCUUUAGCUGAGUUGAUGGCACCUGGAGAACUGGCAUAGCUGCAGAAUAUGAGUAGUUCCCCAAGAAGAGUGCAUUGCCUUUGGCACAAGGAUCAGAAUAAAGGUGAAUUGUUAUUACAUAGGGUUUUUCAGUAAAAGUCUCUGAAAAGGAGCACUGGUGUGGGCUUCUCAACAUCCAUCAUACCCCAACUGAUAAGUCUAGGACAGUUGGGCCUGUCUUCCAUCCCACAUAGAAGAGAGAGACAAAGAGGUAAAUAGAUAGUUGGUAAUACAAUGUGAUGACUGCCCUACUAGUGGUAAAUGCAGGGUACAGCAGAAGAGCAAAGCAUUACAUGCUCUCAGUGUGUAUAUGGGAUGAGAGAAUAAUUGAAAGAUAGCUAGAAAGGGCAUCUUAGAGAAGAUAAUAUUUAAAUUGAGUUUUGAUUUUAUAGCCAGGAUAAUUUAAAAGGGGGGGGGUUGUGGAAGAUGGGGAGAAUAGGUAAAAAACCCUCCAGAUAUAGACCACAGUCUGCAAAGAUAUAGUGGCAUGAGAAUGCAUGCCUUUUUAAGGAAAAUUGUAAAUAGUAGAUGGCUGAAUUUGGAGAGUUUAUUGGGGUUAGAGGGGUAAGCAGGGCAUGAAUCAUGAUGGGUGUUUAUGUCAUGUGAAUGAGUAGAUUUUAUUGUGAGGGCAUGUGCUCUGUUGUGCUCAGUUGUUCAGUCAUGUCCAACUCUUUGUGACCCCAUGGACUGCAGCCCACAUGGGGAGCUGUUGAAUGAUUUUGUGGAUAGUGAUGUGAGUUGAUCUGAAGUUCAUCAUGAAGAUGUCUGGAAGGUAUAUAGAGGUUAAAUUGACAAAUUUACCUUCCAUUUCCAGUCCAAUACUAAUAAUCAUCAAGAGAGAUGUUAAAGAUAACUCAUGUUUUUGGCAUGGACAACUGGAGUAGAAGAGGGAUCACAUAUUCUUGGCAGUGCAAUGAGACAGAGUGGAAAAAAUCUCAAGGCUAUAUCCAAGCAGUAAAACAUUAAAUUAGUAAUUGUUAAAAAAAAAAAAAGGCAUUACAAACACAUUGCUGAUUUUGUAGUUACUAGUUGGAACAAAAUGUCACAUUAACAGACAGGUCUGUGAACAAUAGUGGCCUCUAUUACUUUGAUGGAUUCAUACACUCAGAUAAUUAGAGUAUAUAAAUCUGGCCACAAUUAGGCACUCAAAAAAUUCAAUCACUGAAUAAUACUAGAGGA
ensembl:lncRNA